rnacentral:rRNA from 1 species
UACGGGGGGGGCAAGCGUUGUUCGGAAUUACUGGGCGUAAAGGGCUCGUAGGUGGCCAACUAAGUCGGACGUGAAAUCCCUCAGCUUAACUGGGGAACUGCGUCUGAUACUGGUGGGCUUGAGUGCAGGAGAGGAACGCGGAAUUCCAGGUGUAGCGGUGAAAUGCGUAGAUAUCUGGAGGAACACCGGUGGCGAAGGCGGCGUUCUGGACUGCAACUGACACUGAGGAACGAAAGCCAGGGGAGCAAACGGG